rnacentral:sRNA from 1 species
ACUAGUGUUGAGUUUCAUUGCAGGGACAAAAUGGUCCCAAGAAAAGAUGAAAGUCCAAAAGAUUAUUACAAAUGUAUGGGAUAUUUUUCAACCACUUCUUUUUGGUUUAGUUGGAGCAGAAGUAUCUGUUUCAUCGCUUGAAUCAAAUAUUGUUGGCUGUGUUAGGUCCUCUGGCUCUAGAAACAGCAAGAGUCUCCGCACCCCACUUGGAACCAUAUGCAAAAGAUGUGAUGACAGUAGCAUUUUUAGCCAUCUUGAUCACAGCUCCAAAUGGAGCUCUACUUACGGGCAUUCUGGGGCCUAAAAUGCUUACACGCCAUUAUGAUCCAAGCAAAAUAAAACUGCAGUUGUCAACAUUAGAACAUCAUUAAAAAGUUUACCUGUCAUCAUC